rnacentral:tRNA from 1 species
UAGUAGUUAGUUUAACAAAAACAAAUGAUUUCGACUCAUUAAACUAUGUUUCAAUACAUAACUACUAA